CACCAACAACACCGUCCCCAGUGAGAGUGAUGUUCUGGCAAAGGGCAGUCCUUUCUUGAAUGGUGAUGAAAUCCGGUUGAAUGAUACCGUGAGGGUGCAGAAUCUCACAUAUGAGCGAUUAUCAGAUAAUUCCUUCGCUUUGACACUGGCCUACAAGAUCAAUGACGUGAGCUUUCCAGAGAAUGUUGAACUCAGGACAGAGACGCAAGCACGCAUUCAGGACUCUGUCAACAACUUGCUGAAUGGAUUGCUGAACCAACCUAAUGCAAGUCCUUUUACCUUCCCACAAGCAAAUUUUACCCACCUGCCCAACGAGAUUCAUGCCAAUGUGGAGUAUGUCUUUCGGGAAGGUGACAUCAACCAACCAAGCAACUUCCUGGCUGCGAUACUGGCAGUUAGUGCUUCCCCUGCCAUUGCUACAACGAGUUCUCCAGCAGUGACCACCACAGCAGCUCC